UGUCGACAUCUGCGGUUACUCGGCUCAACGUUUCUAUGCCAGUGAAGCAACAAUGAUUUUUUUGUGGUUCUCAGUAAUGUUAGUCUGUUUAUCAAAUAGCUUCUGUUUCAGAGUGGAGCAAACACCUGAAGCCGUUAUCAAAGAGAUAGGCGAAUCGCUGACCAUCCAGUGUGUGCUACCUGAUAGCUUGUACGGUACAUCGUGGUUCCGGAAAAAUCACGGAAACGUAGAUUGGGAACGCAUAACUAUUGGCGGACGAUAUGUUGAAUCAGUAGACAAGGAAGCAAACUCGUUUUCUCUGACAAUAAAUGACCUGAGAGUUGAAGACAGUGCCACGUAUUACUGCAAAGCUCAAGCUGACGCAUGGUAUGGUGGCUGUAUGCUGUUCUAUUGCUACUAUGACGGAGCUGGCACUGUACUGACGGUGUACUCUGCAUCACAACGCUCUUCUCCAGCCAUCAGUCUCCUCUAUUCUGUAACAGACGAACUGAAGAGAAAAGGAUAUGUGCAGCUCGCCUGUCUGAUCAGCGGAUACUAUCCAGAAACCAUUGAAAUAGAAUGGGAGAAAAACAACCGUCGUGUAGAUUCAGACAUUACAACUACGGCCCCGGCGAAAAUGACAAGUGGAGACUAUAGUUCUACAAGCUUUCUCCAAGUAUCCUUGCGGGAAUUGAACGGCAGUAAUGUGUACAGUUGCCAAGUAACUCAUCCUUCAACCAACACUAAUCAGAGAAAAGAAAUUCAAUUCGCAUCAGGUCUCAUCGUAUUUCUCAGAGACCCUACAGUUAAAGAAACCUGGAUCAAUAAGACUGCCACACUGGUGUGUGAGGUAGUUUCUACAAUUUCCACUGCGGUUGUGAUUUCUUGGACAGUUGAUGGACAGGUAAGGACUGAAGGAACUCAGAUUGAAGCGGGGAGAAAGGAAGGAAACCAGUAUGUGACCGUUGGGCGUUUAACAAGCAGCGCGGAGGAAUGGGAUAGAGGCGUUGAAUAUACUUGCACCGCCAACGACAGCCAAUCAUCAACUGUGGUUACAAAAAGAACAAGAAAGACAAAGGUCAUGCCAGUUGUGCCAAAGGUUCGUCUCAUGCCUCCAUCACCAGAAGAAGUUAAAAAUACAAAUAUUGCUACGCUUACUUGCCUGAUAAGCGGAUUCUACCCUGGGAAAAUAAACAUAACCUGGGAGAAGGAUGGAACAGUUUUGCACUCGAACAUCAGCAGUUCGCCCACUGCUUUGGAGCAAGACCAGACUUUCAGCACCGGAAGCCUCUUAACAGUACCGGCAGCGGAUUGGAACUCAGGAGCAAGAUACUCCUGUGCCGUUUUUCAUCUACCUUCACAAUCCAACGAGAAAAAAGUCAUUAGAAGCCUGAAAGCUGAUUGUCACAAGGGAGUCAUUUCUGUCAAUGUUCAGAAGCCUUCAUUUGAAGAGAUUUGGAACCAGCUGACUGCUACUGUUGUGUGUGAAGUUCUCUACGUUGAUUUGGAAAACAUCAGCGUGUCCUGGCAAGUGGAUGGGAGCUGGAGGACGGAAGGAGUCGAUACUCAGAAGCCUGAGUGGAGAGGAAGUGAAUUGGCCAUCAUUAGCAAACUCCAAGUCACUACUAUGGAAUGGAACAGUGGGGUGGAAUAUGUUUGUUUCGUAGAGAACAAUGCAUUACCAACCCCAGUGAAAUCAUCCACCAGAAAACUCAUGGUUGGACAAAUGCAUCCUCCUAAAGUCUACGUUCUGCCUCCAUCAGCGGAUGAGAUUAAAACUGAGAAGACAGCUACUCUCGUGUGCCUCGUCACUGGUUUCUAUCCAGCUGAUAUUUACAUUGCUUGGAUGGCCAAUGACACGCUUUUGGAUUCGGGUUCUCUGAGCCAACCAAUCACCAAGAGGGAAGAGCAUUCCCAUUCCAUUGCCAGCAGAUUGCAAGUCACUGCGGCAGAGUGGAACAGUGGCGUUACUUAUUCCUGUUUAGUGGGACACCUGUCCCUUAAAAGAAACUUAAUUAGAAGUACAAAUAAUUUCCAGGGCAAACCUACAUUGUUUAACGUGUCUGUUGUUCUAACUGACAGUUUAAAACCUUGCGUAUAACUACCAGCAUUGAAUAAUUGCUUACUAUGGAGUUAAGAAUGCGGUGGUGUUCACAAAUGUUUCUGAUUCGUCAAUCGUCACAGAACUCUCCAGACCAGCAAACACUUGCCCACAUUUCAGGGAGGUGAAUAAAUUGAAUACAUCAAUAAAAUGUAAAUGUGCUUAGAAUCUGAUGGUAAAGAAUUAGCUUAGUCCUGCCUGAUACUACAGUAAUUCUAAACAUAUUUUGAAGGGUUUUGUGACUUGGUGAUGAACAGAAGGUUGUGUUUCAUCACAUAAUUGCA